rnacentral:rRNA from 1 species
ACGGGGUAGUAACGCGUGGUCAACCUACCGUUGAGUGGGGGAUAACUAGCCGAAAGGUUAGCUAAUACCGCAUACGUCUCCGAGGGGCAUCCCUUGGCGAUAAAAGGAGCAAUCCGCUCGAUGACGGGACCGCGUCCCAUUAGCUAGAUGGUGGGGUAACGGCCUACCAUGGCACCGAUGGGUAGCUGGUUUGAGAGAGCGACCAGCCACACUGGGACUGAGAAACGGCCCAG